rnacentral:rRNA from 1 species
CGAAAGCCUGACGGAGCAACGCCGCGUGAGGGACGAAGGCCUCUGGGCUGUAAACCUCUUUUCUCAAGGAAGAAGAUAUGACGGUACUUGAGGAAUAAGCCACGGCUAAUUCCGUGCCAGCAGCCGCGGUAAUACGGGAGUGGCAAGCGUUAUCCGGAAUUAUUGGGCGUAAAGCGUCCGCAGGCGGCUUUUCAAGUCUGCUGUUAAAGCGUGGAGCUUAACUCCAUCAUGGCAGUGGAAACUGAAAGGCUUGAGUAUGGUAGGGGCAGAGGGAAUUCCCGGUGUAGCGGUGAAAUGCGUAGAUAUCGGGAAGAACACCAGUGGCGAAGGCGCUCUGCUGGGCCAUUACUGACGCUCAUGGACGAAAGCCAGGGGAGCGGAAG